CAUGCCCCAAGUCAAUAACAGACAUAAUCAACAAGAAACAUAAUGAACAAGAUAGUGAACUGUUUGUUUCACUUGUUUAAAAAUGUCCUGGAAAACAGGAAGAAGAUUAAUAACGGGCUCUCGUUUUAGUUCCAGUCUUAAGCAUGGCAUAUGUGUAACAUCUGGUAGGUUUGGAAAGUGAAACUGUCACAGCCAAAGAAUCUCAGUGCUGAUAUUUAGGGUUGAAUGUCUGACCUAAUUCAGAGAGAUAGUAGGGGCUGCUAAGCACAGAGAUAAGGCACCACAGUAUACAGUGGCUUUUAUUUCAGAGCAUAGUCAAAUGUUUUCAUUGACUAUGGAGCUGGUUGGCUUUCAUCUAAAGGGUGCAGAUUACGUCAUGAAGGCAGGAAUGGCUGGGAGACCACUUGGCAAGUAAGCUAGCAAAGAAAGCUCAAAGGACAGAUCCACAGCUGGUGCAGCUGCUCUGAUCUACAUGAGCUGAAAAUCUGGCCCAUAAUAUUUUCAGGAGUGUAUAGCAAACAGAAACCGGAGCACCUCCCAGCUUUCCUAACGAAAAGCGGAACUCAGCAGUUGGGAGAAAAGCAGUUGGGAAUCCAGUGGAAUGAAUGUAGAUACCACGAGUGGCUAAAGCUGAACCCAGGCAAGACUGGAGUGAUGCUCGGAGGAAGAGAGAAGUGCUCUGAAGAACUCGCCUCCUCUGUAACAUCCUCCACUUCCAUCCGUGACUGGCCAGAAGCUUGUGCCUCAUCAGGGAUCCAUGAUUUGUGAUGUCCCAAUUGAAUAGUUGCAGCUCAUUAUAUCUAGGAAGGAAGCUGCACUGAGGAAAUUCCCUUUGAUAUAAAAGAGAGUAGCCCAUUUACUCCUCUAUGUGCUCCACUCUAUGCACUGGAUUUCCACUGAAUAGAGUUCACAGUUCACAGUUGCUGUCCAAAGUUGCCCAUGGGAUUGGCCUGAGACACACGUCUCCCUCUGCAAGCAGGACCUCCCAUGAAAGCUACAUGUAGUUCCCUAGAUCAGUGAAGCUGUCAACUAAGGAAGGGGAGCUCAUGAGUAGGGGAGACAGUGUCGUGGGGAUGGCUUUGAGCUACUGCUGCAUCCUGGUCUAUGUGGCGUACCUGGAGAUCUGUCCAGGGUUUAAAUCAGCACAAGUAUCCCCACUCUGGGAACUCCACAGGCUUCUCAGUAACCAAAGGAAACAGCGGUAGCUACACUCAAACAUUUAUUUAAAAAACCAACAACUCUAAAGCCUAAGCACGGGCAAUCAGCUUAACAAAGCAGAGUCUGUUUCUGUGAGGAGAUCAAUCUUCACCAUGAAAUAGGCCUUCUGAGGAUGAACACGGGCUGCUUAAGUUCUUGGUUGUCAGCCCUUUCCGCUUUCCUUUUCAAGCUAAAGCGUUAAACUAGUGAGCACACGUGAACCAAUUGCUUGGAGUCCUGAGACAACAAAUGUCUGGAAAAUUAGGAAUGUCAGACUGAGAAGCACAUUAUUGUCACUCGACAAAUAAUAAACUGGUGUACACAGCCAUAAAAAUGAUGUCUCUUUGUUUCCCUGAGUACUGCACCUUUCAAUUUCCAACACUCCCCUCCUGGUGGAUUAAAUUGAGUGGCUGGUUUGUUGUUUGUGGUCAGUGCAGACUCUCACAGAGGAGGUGUAUGCGCUGUGCUCUCUCUGUCUCUCGUGGGGUACAUUGCUUUUGUUCUUUUUCUCUCCUCACCUCAAACAAGUCAUUCCUGGCUCAACGUAUCUGUCUAUUUGGGCCUUAUACAUGGAAAACCGUAACAAUAAGAUGGUGCGUGGCUGAGAAAAUCUGCAAUAUUAGGAGAACGCAGCCAGUGAGAGCGCUUAUCGAAUGUACAGUGCAAAUAGAUGGCUGACUACAGAAGGAUCAGAGUCCCUGUUUUACCUGGUUCUCGCCAUCCUAUUCAAUCCUGAUUUACUCCUUCUGCCCACACCCUAGAAACAGGCAUCUUGCAAAUGAAACUAACUGGAUUCUCUGCUGAAAAAUGUCUUUCUAACCACAGCAUGAGAAAUACAACUAUUCCCAAGCUGAGUGGAUGAAAGCCUGAUUCCAGCGGAUGUGGCUGAAGUCACUGGCCACAAAUAUCUUCCCAGCACAAACAGCUAUUUUGUCCUCCUUGAGAACAAGUAGAAAGAGAGAGAGGGGUAGAUCUAAAUCCUUCUGUGCAUCCCACCCAUCACCGCUGUCCCAGCAGUUGUUCUUUUUUCCCCAAGAUGUUUUGUACUAUGUUCUUGCCAGCUCUUACAAGUUAAACAGGGAUGGGCUGGUUUGAUAUGUAAAUGGGAGACCUCUAAGGAACACAGAAGUGCUCUUGGGGGAUAAGUAGGUGGUGUUUUCUCUCUGAGUUAGUACUGAAUGAAUGCCUCCUGUGGUGCUAACUGGCCAUGUGCUGCUGGAGGUAACACCUUUUUUGGCUGAUAUGCCCUGUUCACUUGAGCUCCUUAAAGAUUCUUUGGCACUUUUUGUGUGUAUCCCUCUGCAUGUGCAAGAGCAGGGGUGGUGUCCUGGCCAAAUUCCAACAUGGAUAAUUUCAAUCUGAUGGCCAAUAAUAAUAAUUAACAAAUGCCCUGGUAGUUUCAACUGGAAACACAAUUUUUCUUCAUUUCCUGUCCUAACCUAAUGUGCUAUAUUGCUAUACCUUUUUUCCUAAAUAGUUGUUUUUGCUUAAAUUGAAAUAAAACAAAUCAUUCUGCCACAAUAAAUCCAUAAUCUUAAAUUGUCAUUUAUUACUGUAAACAGUGAAAUGCAGGGGCAGAUCCUUGGCUGGUGUGAAUUGUCGUAGGGCAUUGAAACUUAUGACAAUUUACCCCAGCUGAAGAUCUGCCUCAGCAUAAAUUACCCUGAAACAUUUGGAAAUAAUAUUUGGUUGAGCUUUAUUUAAAAACUAUCACAAAAUGUAUAUUAGAACUAGAAAAGGUACAGAGAAGGGCAACAAAAAUGAUUAGGGGUAUGGAGCAGCUUCCGUCCGAGGAGGAUUAAAAAGACUGGGACUGUCCAGCUUGGAAAAGAGACAACAAAGGGGGGAUAUCAUAAAGGUCUGAACAAAAUCAUGAAUGGU